rnacentral:lncRNA from 1 species
UGUGUGGAAGGAAUGCAUUUGCAUGCUCUUGCAUGUGGUUGUGAUUGCUUGGAGAUCCACUUGCUGGCUGCCAUUGUUGACUUUGGUUCUUGACUUUGGCUGUGCUUUGGACAUCUAUCUCCUUCAAAUAACUUCCUUUGUCUCGGCUGGGAGUUUGCAUAUGGCUGUGAUUGCUUGAGAUCCACUUGCUGGCUGCCAUUGUUGACUUCGGUGCUUAGCUUUGGCUGUGCUUUGGACAUCUGUCUCCUUCACAUGGCUUCCUUUGUCUUGGCUGGGAGUUUGCUAUUCUUGGUUGCUGCAGUAGCUGACUCUCCUUCAACGGCUUGCAGCCUGCUAUGAUGAUCACCGGCUUGUUGAUCCUUCACUCCAGUUCUUAGUGGUUCUUGGCCUGGCUUGCAUUGGGCUGAAGUUUGUUGCUUGUUUCUGUUAUUUCUUGUAUGAUCUCUUUAUGGUUAUCAGGAUGCUCCUUCGUCCUGUUUUUUGCUUUGUGUUAGGUUAGGAACUUUCUAGUUUUUGGUUCCUCUCAUAACCGUUGUCUGUUUCUAUGCUGUUUUUCCAUUCAGUGGUUGUUGUUUCGGUCUCUAAGGGAGCAUGUUCCCUUUCUGUUCAUCCUGUAUCUGAACUUGCUGGUUUUCCGGCAAUGUAUAUCUUUUGAUCUUUUAUACACUUACAUUUGAUAAAAAAAAAAAAA